rnacentral:rRNA from 1 species
AUUGAACGCUGGCGGCAGGCCUAACACAUGCAAGUCGAACGAGUGGCGGACGGGUGAGUAAUGUCUGGGAAACUGCCCGAUGGCGGGGGAUAACUACUGGGAACGGUAGCUAAUACCGCAUACCAUCGGAUGUGCCCAGAUGGGAUUAGCUAGGUGGUGGGGUAACGGCUCACCAAGGCGACGAUCCAUAGCUGGUCUGAGAGGAUGACCAGCCACACUGGAACUGAGACACGGUCCAGACUCCUACGGGAGGCAGCAGUGGGGAAUGUUGCACAAUGGGCGCAAGCCUGAUGCAGCCAUGCCGCGUGUAUGAAGAAGGCCUUCGGGUUGUAAAGUACUUUCAGCGGGGAGGCGUUACCCGCAGAAGAAGCACCGGCUAACUCCGUGCCAGCAGCCGCGGUAAUAC